UUGGAAUGUAAUGGCGGACGGCUGAGUAACACUGGGGACCUGCCUUUUAGUAGAAAAUAGCUCGCCGAAAGGCGGGGUAAUAUUCUAUGUUGUCGCAAGACCAAAGAGUUUAACCACUCGCUAAAAGAUGGACCUGCGUCCUAUCAGGUUGUUGGUGAGGUAAUGGCUCACCAAGCCUACGACGGGUAGCUGGACCGAGAGGUCGGUCAGCCAGAAGAGCACUGAGACACGGGCUCU
rnacentral:rRNA from 1 species